UUGAGCCCAAAAUGACAAAUGCGGGCACCCCAGGUGUGAUGUGAGAUAAAGUACACGUAAUGAAAUUCUCCAAGCAAAGGUGUAAAAGUUAUCAUAAGUUUUACAGCCAAUACCUGGACAAUCUAUCCAGCACUCUGAAAGAAGAAAGGAAAGGUACAGCCUGGAAGAGCAACAGAAGCAUGUGUAUCUAAUUCACCUCAUGUACUGUGUGUAUAAAUGGUAAAGUAAGUCUGAUGUCUUCAGUAAUUGUGUAAGGUGGGGUAAAGAAUGUCAAAAUAUUAUUUCCAGGUCAUAAAUGGUGAUUAUGGGACAGACUGAGGGAGGGCUCAAAAGUUGUAUUAUGAGUGUUGAUGGUUAGGCUGACAGGUAGAUUAUAUGACUGAUCCCAGAUUUCUACUUUCACCAUAUGAUCAAGUCUGCAACCCCCACCCUGGUGACAGCAGGGAGCCGCUUCAACGAAAUGACCACCAACUUCACUGGUGGAGCGUGUGCGCCGCUGAACACAAGAAACCACGGGACAGACACACAAGGCGUCGGGGAAAGUGAAAGUUGAUGAGAAAGAAGAGAAGUAGAUGUGUAUUGUCUCCCUAAAUAUAAUGGGAUAAGGUUGAACUUCAAAACUAAUGGAGUUGUUUUCCUCAAAAGUAUAAUGAUUGCAGUUUCGACAUAUAGGCAUUUUUGUAUUCAGAUGCAGCAGAAAACUUUAGAGGAUGAAUAACAACUUUACUUUUUACUUAUAAAUGGCAA